rnacentral:misc_RNA from 1 species
GAUGAAGAACGUAGCGAAAUGCGAUAAGUAAUGCGAAUUGCAGAAUCCGUGAGUCAUCGAAUCUUUGAACGCACAUUGCGCCCUCCGGUAUUCCGGAGGGCAUGCCUGUUCGAGCGUCAUUAUCACCCCUCAAGCCCGGCUUGUUGUUGGAUGCAGCGCUUAUCCCGCUCCUCCCAAAGAUAAUGACGGCGUCUGCGACGACUCCUGUACACUGAGCUUUCGGGCACGUACACGGCUAGAAGUCCAGACCCGGUCGCCGUCCCCCCCGCGGGGACACCCAUUACCACAAGGUUGACCUCGGAUCAGGUAGGAAUACCCGCUGAACUUAAGCAUAUCAAUAAGCGGAGGA